rnacentral:lncRNA from 1 species
AUGAAAGAUUUUAGCUGCUAGCAUUUAUGAUGAUGAUAAAACGUUUGUCCUGUGCUUUCCAGAAAUACUGUUGACCCCAGCUAAGAAAGGAAGACUGAAUACAGAGUCGUCAACCUUCAAGAGCAGAAAAAAUCUUGAGGAAAACUUCCAAAGUAUUCGUUUGACUCCUAUGAAGAAAACCCAAAGUAGUAUUUCAAAUAUAGAUGACAACUUCAACAAAAAUAUUAAUUUCCAAGAAAAAUAUAACUUAAUACCUACAUACACAAAAACUCUCCAAACAAACCAAGACACACACUUGAGGAAACAAACAGUCAAAGAGAGACACUACACAGAAUAUCAAGGCUUGAAUGAGAAAAAUAAAUAUUCAUUUGAUGAAGGUGAGGUAAGUUGUGAGGCCAGAUAAUACCCUUACAUAUUUGCAUAAAAAUCC